CCUACGGGGGGCAGCAGUAGGGAAUAUUGCUCAAUGGGGGAAACCCUGAAGCAGCAACGCCGCGUGGAGGAUGAAGGUUUUCGGAUUGUAAACUCCUUUUGUUAGAGAAGAUAAUGACGGUAUCUAACGAAUAAGCACCGGCUAACACCGUGCCAGCAGCCGCGGUAAUACGGAGGGUGCAAGCGUUACUCGGAAUACAUGGGCGUAAAGAGCGUGUAGGCGGGAUAGCAGGUCAGAUGGGAAAUCCUAUGGCUUAACCAUAGAACUGCAUUUGAAACUGGUAUUCUUGAGUAUGGGAGAGGUAGGUGGAAUGCUUGGUGUAGGGGUAAAAUCCGUAGAGAUCAAGAGGAAUACUCAUUGCGAAGGCGACCUGCUAGAACCGAACUGACGCUGAUGCGCGAAAGCGUGGGGAGCAAACAGGAUUAGAUACCCGUGUAGUC
rnacentral:rRNA from 1 species